AGUGAACGCUGGCGGUAGGCCUAACACAUGCAAGUCGAACGGCAGCACAGUAAGAGCUUGCUCUUACGGGUGGCGAGUGGCGGACGGGUGAGGAAUACAUCGGAAUCUACUUUUUCGUGGGGGAUAACGUAGGGAAACUUACGCUAAUACCGCAUACGACCUACGGGUGAAAGCAGGGGAUCUUCGGACCUUGCGCGAUUGAAUGAGCCGAUGUCGGAUUAGCUAGUUGGCGGGGUAAAGGCCCACCAAGGCGACGAUCCGUAGCUGGUCUGAGAGGAUGAUCAGCCACACUGGAACUGAGACACGGUCCAGACUCCUACGGGAGGCAGCAGUGGGGAAUAUUGGACAAUGGGCGCAAGCCUGAUCCAGCCAUACCGCGUGGGUGAAGAAGGCCUGCGGGUUGUAAAGCCCUUUUGCUGGGAAAGAAAAGCAGCAGGUUAAUACCCCGCUGUUCGGACGGUACCCAAAGAAUAAGCACCGGCUAACUUCGG
rnacentral:rRNA from 1 species